GAUCACCUUGGGGUUGUGUUACUGUUUAAUGAGCACGCAAUGAAAACAGUACUGCUAACAACACCGCAACUCAUAUACAGUGGUGCCUCGCUUGACGACGUUAAUUUGUUCUAGAGAAAUCACUGUACAG
rnacentral:ncRNA from 1 species